rnacentral:lncRNA from 1 species
UCCGAAUUACAUAGGUUAUAACUGAAAACGAAAAUUCCAAACUAAUGGGUAAAUUUGAAAUUUUAAAAUUUAUGUAUGUAGGUUGAAAUUAUGGUAGUGCAGAAAGAAACUACGGAAUGGUUAAUUUAGAUCGUAAAUGGUUCACGGACGCUCCUUCCUACACCUCCACUCCUUCUACCUACACCUCCCCAAAUUCUUUUAUUUACAAAAAUAGCCUUAAGUUAAAAUGUUUUUACUUUUACCAUUUAGAUUUUUUUUAAACCCUAAUUCUACUCUCUGUUAUUUGCACAGCCACACAGCCACUGCCCCACCCUCACUUCUCUCUCUCUCACAUAUCUCUUUCCCAUUUUUGUUUUCUCCCUUCUUCUUCCUCUCCUUUCACUUUUGUUUUCUGUUUUCAUUUCUCUUCCCCAUUUUUUCUUCUUUUGUAGUUCGUUUUACUAUUUCCAUUGACAGUUGAGAUAUGGUGUGGAGAAGUGUAAAGAAGCAUGGAGUAGAACGGAGUUCUUCGUUUCGAUAUCGAGGUUGGUUUUCUUCACCACUCUUUUAUUUUCCUAACAGAUGUUGAUAUCGGUUAACAGAUGUUUAUAUCCGUUAAAGGAUUCUCCAUCUCCAUCUUCCUUUUGCAUCUUCUUUGACAAACUUCCGCUUGCUGCAUCACUACAACCACCACCAGACCUCUUCUUCCACCAACACCACUACUAUCAGACCACCUUCUUCCACCACUUUGUGUUGAGAGUAUAAAUGAUUUUACAAUGGGAAUCGCUUGAAAAAAAAUUUACCAACCAUUUUACAUAAUUUAAUAAUUUUUGUAAUAUUUUAUAUGCAUAAAAAAGUUGUUAAGAAAUAAAAUAAAUUAGCUUGAGAUGUGGUAGAAGUGUUAUUCAACGGAUCUUGAUUUAUGUUAACGGAAGUCAAGAUCCGUUUAAAGGCGAUGUUGAUAAAAAAAAAAAAAAAAAAUUUAACUGCAGAACAAAAUGGGAAUGUGGAAGUGCAAUAUGUAGAGAUGGAGGUGGAAGAAGUAACCCUCAUGGUUCACGUGGGGCUGAUAAUAAUUGCCCGAAAGCUAUUGCUUCUCGCACCCCAUUCAAUAUAUGAAAUUUCCAAAUUGAUCUCUUGAUUUUUAAUUUUACCCUGUAUUUUUAAUUUUACCCUGUAAUUUUACCCUGUAUUUUUCUAAAAUUUGAAUGUUAUAUUCUACUUAAAUAUGUUUCUCAAUCCUCAGUCCUCCACCAUUUCUUAUACAGUUUUUGAUUCUGCGUAUUGUUUUCUCCCUCCCCCUUCUCUUUCUCCUUCAGUUUCUUCCUUCUCCGUCUCUGCCUCCGUUUCUUCAUUUUUCUUUCAUAUCUUCUUUCUCUUCCAUCUCUCCUUACAUUUCUGCCACUGCAUUGACACCACCAGAGAAAACCUUGAUCACUCACGUUGCUCCUAAGCGUGACUAAAGUAAGAAUUUUUCUUUUAACUUCCCAAAUAUGUAUCCCAGAUUGUUUUUUCUUAUAUGCAUCAAAAUAACCAUCACACUUCUUAAAGUAUACAACAAUUCUACUUAUUCAAUAGUUAUUUCUUUUAUGAAAUUUGAUGUAAAAUAUCAGUAUAAAAUAUAUUUAUAAUUUGACAAGUUUUCAUGAAUUAAUAAAAUUUACUUUACAAAAGAAAGUUAUAUUAAUAAUAUAUUGCAAGAUACACCACAUGUAUAUUUGCUAGCACACUUUUUCAGUAACAAAAGAUAACAAGUUAUUAAAUUAUAUUUUUUUUAACAUUUCAAACAAUAACUGUUCCUAAUUUAACAGUUCAUGUGGGUAUUUUUUUUUUCUUCAAUUUGACAAUAUUCCAUUAAUUACGUUUUCAAAAUGAAUAACUUUGAUUUAUUGAAAAUAUAUGAAUUCAUUAUGAACUAGUUAGGAAGAGAAGUUAUGCAGGUGAAUAGGGAGGCUGGUUUUGAAACCAAGAGAACACUCCAUAACUUCAAAAAAAAACAAAAAAAAAAAAAAACUCUUGAUUUGGAGCACAAGUUGAAGUGACAUGGCUCACUUGUUCGUGGCAACAUAACCACAAGAUUUUAUAGUCAUAAAUAAAUUGUUGAGUAGAGAAUGGCACCCAUAAUAUGUAUAUAAUAUAACUCGAGCUAUAGUAGUAGAACUCUGGAAUUAACUACUUCAUAUUUGAAGAGCUUCUGCAAGGAAAUACUCACUUUCUGGUGCAUACUACUCUUUAAUUUAACAAAAAGACAAAUAAUGCAGCCUAACUUAAUCUUGUUCCUUAUUUUGAUUGAAUGUUAACUGGCUUGUAAACAUCAGACAUUGAAUUCGUGUUUUUCAAAACCAAACAUGCACUUCGUUCCAAUAUUCAUUUCACAAUAGCUUGGACGAACACAAAGAUGCUGCAUAAUUUAUUGAUUGAAAUAGUAAAAUAUCAACACGAACAGUCCCAGGUUAUUUGUUUGACAUGCGCAAAUCCUAGGAUUCAACUUCAACCAUAAUUUUGAAACCAAAUCCUAACUAAGUACUCCACACAAUUUUCCUUAUAAAUUCUAAAUCCUCACAACAUGAAAUCUAUUUCGAAGAAAAAAGGCCUUCAUAGCGUCCUUUGAAAAAGGCAAAAACUGGGUCUCUAGGGGGAAGACUUUCUUUGACAAUUGGAUGGUUCAAAAAUUCUUGGCUCCACCUGUAGAGAUUAGGAAAUUUCUCACUUGUCAAUAACUCCAAUCCUGCUAUUUCUUGAAUCAAAGGGAUCCAAAAUGCUACAUAGACAGCAGCAAUAUCUACCAACCCAAGCUCUUCUCCUCCAAAGAACUUCUUCUCCUUUAUCUCAUUCUCAAGAAACUGCAGACUCUCAUAUGUUUCUGCAAUAUUCUUCUCACGCUCUUUCUCAUCAACUGUGAAAACAGAUUUCCACGAAGCACCCACAAUCUGAUUUCAUAAAUCACACUGUUUAUUACCCACUGUCGUAUAAAUCACANUNAUUUAAGNCAGUUUAAAUUAACUUCAUCAACUUAGAGUAACUCAAAUUCACAAUCCCACAAAAUCAUCUACCAUAUUCAGGAUUGCUUCUCACUUGUAUAUUCUGUUCUUAUUACCGAUAGAUACAAGAUCUUCAACAUCAGUCAUUCAUAGGACUUUAGAUAAAGUUGACACAAUUAAUAAAUGAAAUUUAAUGAACUUGUUUUACGACGUUGUGCAAUUUAUUCUAAGAUUUAACAUUUACAACAUGUCAUGAAAGGUGGUGUUUUGGGGAUAAACGAAGAAAAAGUAAGAAAAGUGGAAAACAAAGGUUACCUUGUCAUCGAUGAAUUUGGACCAGAAACGAGCCAAGGCUCUCU